AUAGUACUCCCUCCGUCCGGAAAUACUUGUCGGAGAAAUGGAUAAAAAUGGAUGUAUGUAGAACUAAAAUACAUCUAGAUACAUCCAUUUCUCCGACAAAUAUUUUCGGAUGGAGGGAGUACUAU
rnacentral:pre_miRNA from 1 species